rnacentral:rRNA from 1 species
UACGAAGGGGGCUAGCGUUGUUCGGAAUCACUGGGCGUAAAGGGCGCGUAGGCGGCCUGCUAAGUCGGAUGUGAAAUCCCUCGGCUCAACCGAGGAACUGCAUCCGAUACUGGCGGGCUUGAAUCCGGGAGAGGGAUGUGGAAUUCCAGGUGUAGCGGUGAAAUGCGUAGAUAUCUGGAGGAACACCGGUGGCGAAGGCGGCAUCCUGGACCGGUAUUGACGCUGAGGCGCGAAAGCUAGGGGAGCAAACGGG